rnacentral:rRNA from 1 species
AGGGCAUUUGGUGGAUGCCUUGGCACCGAGAGGCGACGAAGGACGCAGCACGUUGCGAUAAGCCACGGGGAGCCGCGAGCAGGCUUUGAUCCGUGGAUUUCCGAAUGGGGAAACCCGGCCCUUAGGGGUCGUCCGCCGUCGAAUCCAUAGGCGGCGGAAGCUAACCCGGCGAAUUGAAACAUCUCAGUAGCCGGAGGAAAGGACAUCAACCGAGACUCCGUUAGUAGCGGCGAGCGAACGCGGACCAGGCCAGUGACGCAUCCGUCAGAACCGGAACCGUCUGGAAAGGCGGGCCAGAGAGGGUGAUGGCCCCGUACGGGUAGAAAGCGGAUGCGUCCUCGAGUAGGGCGGGACACGAGGAAUCCUGUCUGAAGAUGGGUGGACCACCCUCCAAGCCUAAGUACUCCUCGGUGACCGAUAGUGCACGAGUACCGUGAGGGAAAGGUGAAAAGCACCCCGAUGAGGGGAGUGAAAGAGAACCUGAAACCGAAUGCCUACAAGCAGUGGGAGCCUCCAGACUCUUCGGAGUCUGCGGGGUGACCGCGUACCUUUUGUAUAAUGGGUCAGCGAGUUCGUCUGUGUAGCGAGCUUAAGCCGGAAGGCGGAGGCGCAGCGAAAGCGAGUCUGAAGAGGGCGACUGAGUUACACGGAUGAGACCCGAAACCGAGUGAUCUAGCCAUGGCCAGGCUGAAGGUGGGGUAACACCCACUGGAGGGCCGAACCGGUGACUGUUGAAAAAGUGUCGGAUGAGCUGUGGGUAGGGGUGAAAGGCCAAUCAAACUCGGAAAUAGCUGGUUCUCCGCGAAAACUAUUUAGGUAGUACGUCGCGUGAACGCCGCCGGGGGUAGAGCACUGGAUGGGCUAGGGGGGCGCGAGCCUUACCAAACCUAACCAAACUCCGAAUACCGGCGAGCGCUGCGCGGCAGACAGACCAUGGGUGCUAAGGUCCGUGGUCGAGAGGGAAACAGCCCAGACCGCCAGCUAAGGUCCCCAAGUCGUGGCUAAGUGGGAAAGGAUGUGGGAAGGCCAAGACAACCAGGAGGUUGGCUUAGAAGCAGCCAUCCUUUAAAGAAAGCGUAAUAGCUCACUGGUCUAGACAAGCCGUCCCGCGCCGAAAAUGUAACGGGGCUCAAGCCACGUACCGAAGCUGCGGAUGUGCAAGCGAUUGCACGUGGUAGCGGAGCGUUCCGCAAGCCUGUGAAGGGGUCUCGCGAGGGAUCCUGGAGGCACCGGAAGCGAGAAUGCUGACAUGAGUAGCGACAAACAGUGUGAGAGACACUGUCGCCGAAAGUCCAAGGGUUCCUGCGCAAGGUUAAUCCGCGCAGGGUGAGCCGGCCCCUAAGGCGAGGGCGAAAGCCGUAGCCGAUGGGAACCAGGUUAAUAGUCCUGGGCCUGCCGGGAGUGACGGAUGCCGUAAGUCGUGACCGCUGAUUGGAUUGCGGUUGCGGCGAAGGCGUUCCAGGAAACAACCCCGGCGUAUAGACCGUACCCCAAACCGACACAGGUGGACUGGUAGAGCAUACCAAGGCGCUUGAGAGAAUGGUGUUGAAGGAACUCGGCAAAAUGCCCUCGUAACUUCGGGAGAAGAGGGCCCUUUGCCCGGGCAACCGGGCCGAGGGGGCACAGAGCAGGGGGUAGCGACUGUUUAUUAAAAACACAGGGCUCUGCGAAGUGGAAACACGACGUAUAGGGUCUGACGCCUGCCCGGUGCCGGAAGGUUAAGGGGAUUUGUCAGCGCAAGCGAAGCUUUGAACCGAAGCCCCGGUAAACGGCGGCCGUAACUAUAACGGUCCUAAGGUAGCGAAAUUCCUUGUCGGGUAAGUUCCGACCUGCACGAAUGGCGUAACGAUUUCCGCGCUGUCUCAAACAGUGGCUCAGCGAAAUUGAAUUU